rnacentral:hammerhead_ribozyme from 1 species
ACCCAGCUGGCGAGUCCCAAAUAGGACGAAAUUCACGGCCUGGAU